GCUGGCGGCGUGCUUAACACAUGCAAGUCGAGUGCGCAGUUCCCUGUAGCAAUACAGGGGAUGGGCGCACGGCGCACGGGUGCGUAACACGUGGGCAAUCUGCCCUCGGAUGGGGGAUAACUCGCCGAAAGGCGAGCUAAUACCGCAUGACAUUCCGAAGACUCCGGUCUUUGGACUCAAAGGUCGCAAGGCCGUCUGAGGAGGAGCCCGCGCCCGAUUAGCUAGUUGGUGAGGUAACGGCUCACCAAGGCUUUGAUCGGUAGCCGGUCUGAGAGGAUGGCCGGCCACACUGGAACUGAGACACGGUCCAGACUCCUACGGGAGGCAGCAGUGGGGAAUAUUGCGCAAUGGGCGAAAGCCUGACGCAGCGACGCCGCGUGGGGGAUGAAGCUUCUCGGAGUGUAAACCCCUUUCGACCCGGACGAAUGACCCGCAAGGGUUUGACGGUACGGGUAUAAGAAGCCCCGGCUAACUACGUGCCAGCAGCCGCGGUAAUACGUAGGGGGCCAGCGUUGCUCGGAAUUACUGGGCGUAAAGGGUUCGUAGGUGGUGCGGCAAGUUGGAAGUGAAAUCUCUGGGCUUAACCCAGAGGCUGCUUUCAAAACUGCCGCGCUC
rnacentral:rRNA from 1 species